GAAAACAAUGACAAACGUCACUGAACAGAAAUUGUCUUUGUUCUUCAGAGUGUACCAAAAUGAGAAUAAACUUCAAAGGAGAGCUCAAGAUAUGUUCCUGCCCACGAAAAUACAAAUAUGUAAAGUUCUGGUUUCCUUACGACAAAUUCAAUUGUGGAACAUAUAUCACCAUUCUUCUAAUGGAAUGCACUAUAACAAGAGCAUUACUGAUUUUCAUGUAUUUGAAAAUAAUGUGUGUCUGCUUGAGGCAUGAACAUUGGAUGUCAGCUCAAGAUAAAUCUCAUUGUGGAAGAAGGAUAAUUUGAGCAGUGUACCAAACAAUGCAAAUGCACAGCACAAUGUAAAUCAGCUGUAGCCAUAGCCGGAUUCAUUAUGGACAACAGAAUUCUUUCUGCCAAUGGAAGGAUUUGCAGCCAUCCAGAUUCAGCAUGAGGCUUCUUGCCUAUUGAAGUGGAUACAAGAUUAAAGUGCCCUAGUGAAAAUAUAUUUUGGUAUGCUCUAAGUGCUAAAGGUUUGGAUGACAAAAGGUUUAGCUACAAUGGGGAAAAUUACUUAUUUCCCUUUUAUUGCUCACCAUCAACUUUUAUUUUAAUUUUGUCAUACAUUCCCUUAAUCCAUACAGAAAUAAAUGCCAGCACACAACUUCAGCCUGUGUAAAGAUGUAUAGUAAAAAUUACAAAAAAUGAUGUGUGCUAAGUCUUGAGCUGUAUUUAAUCUCAUGCAAAAUUAUAUCUUUGUGUCUUUAUUAGAAUAAAAAUAUUACAUUAAGGCUGACUGUUGCUUGCCAGUGCUUCCAUUUAAAAAAAAUGUAAUAGCCCAGGGAACCUUUCCUCUGGAGUACAGAACUUCUAUUGUUGAUUUCUGUACUGUGAAUGCCCCAAACUGCAGUAGGUGCAGGGGAUUUCUGGGGCACUGAAAUAAUAUGGCAGCAUGGUGCUCAGAGUAAAAGUACCAUAGGAUAGAAAGUGGUAGGAAGACAGGGGAUAGCAAAAUAAUCUCCUUAAUCAGUGAGCCCUUAUAAUAAUAAUAAAAUAGAAAAACUGAUGUUUCAACUGUUACACCAGCCUUUCUCAAGGUUACAACAAUAAUUCAUAGUGACCCUUAUAUCCAUUGUUUGGUGGGAGACACAAGAAUGUGACGUAAAGCUGUGCAUAGCAAUACCACCCAAAACCACCUCACCCGCACCCCACGGUGAGGUAAUAUUUACAGUAUACAUACCAAUCACUGAGAACUUAAUAACCACAUAUUGUGACUAUGGAGCAAGUCAACUGUUGUGUAUUCCAUGGUCAAUAAAUCUGAAUAAACCUUUUGAGUCUGUAUGAGUAGAGAUAGACACAAAUAUGAAAAAGGGUAGUGGCUUCAAAAGCAAAAGAGGAAAGUAGAUAAUAGACUACAGACUGCGGAUGUGGAAUAGAGUGGUGACUUAAAGACAUGAGGGAAUUGUUGUGGUGUGGUCCUUGUACCCCAAAUUCCCAGGACAUAAGCCAACACCACAUUCUGAUCACUUCACCCUCCACAUAAAAAGAGAUAUUCAUGUGUAUCAGUAUCUUAAUAUUAAAGUGAACCAAAGCUGUAUUGUGGAACCGCCAAAGCUGCAAGCCGUAUUUGUAAUAUUGUGACAACGAGAGGUGCACAGAAAAUAACAUGUUAUAGAAAGUAUCCAAGUGUCAAAGUAGCAAUUAGAUAUCAAAGGCAACAGUCUUACUAGUGCACUUGAGAUACUGACAAUUGAAAUUAAACAUUUUUUAAAAUAUAUCAUAACAUUGUGUUUCCAUAAACUUUAUAAUGUUGCCAUAAAAAGGAGUUCCCCCCUGGUUGUAUGUCAGGGCUCUUUCUUUGCAUAAUAAUAAUCCUGUAAAUCAUAGCCUCUUUCACAAAAACAGCAAAUCAGUUCAUCUGGCUGUUGGUGUAACUGUGGUAAUUGUGAAUUGUUUCUGACCAUCCAGAUCAUUUGCGAGAAUGGAAUGCUCUAAUAGAUGUGGAGGCUGGAAAAAAACUGUGAUGUAGGAGAGUAUUACAGUCUGUGUCCUUUCUGUGGGUUAACAUUGUGGAUAAUAGAUCCCAUAACUGUAUAAUGUAUGACUACUGUGGCACAGAAUGUUAUGAAGACAGAAUCUCAAACACUGAUGAUUGUGAUAGAACGUGUCCCUAUGCAAACACAAAUGUGUCUAUAAGUUUUACAGAAUUUCAAUGGCGAAC